CACAGCGGCAAAUGCACUAGUUCCUGACGGAUCACUGAAGUUAAGAAACAUUGCGCGUGGUGAGUACCUGUGUGGUGACCAUCUGGGGAAUCGCGUGCUGCUGGGU
rfam:Asian citrus Psyllid, Diaphorina citri - Florida Strain, whole genome shotgun sequence.